rnacentral:rRNA from 1 species
UACCGCGUGUGUGAAGAAGGCCUUAGGGUUGUAAAGCACUUUCAAUUGGGAGGAAAACCUACCGGUCAAUACCCGGUAGCUUGACAUUACCUUUAGAAGAAGCACCGGCUAACUCCGUGCCAGCAGCCGCGGUAAUACGGAGGGUGCGAGCGUUAAUCGGAAUUACUGGGCGUAAAGCGUGCGUAGGCGGUUCGUUAAGUCAGAUGUGAAAGCCCUGGGCUCAACCUGGGAACUGCAUUUGAAACUGGCGGACUAGAGUUUAGUAGAGGGGAGUGGAAUUUCAGGUGUAGCGGUGAAAUGCGUAGAUAUCUGAAGGAACACCAGUGGCGAAGGCGACUCCCUGGACUAGAACUGACGCUGAGGUACGAAAGCGUGGGUAGCAAACAGGAUUAGAUACCCUGGUAGUCCACGCCGUAAACGAUGUCGACUAGCCGUUGGGCCUAUAUACAGGUUUAGUGGCGCAGCUAACGCAUUAAGUCGACCGCCUGGGGAGUACGGCCGCAAGGUUAAAACUCAAAUGAAUUGACGGGGGCCCGCACAAGCGGUGGAGCAUGUGGUUUAAUUCGAUGCAACGCGAAGAACCUUACCUACCCUUGACAUCCAGAGAAUCUGUUAGAGAUA